rnacentral:rRNA from 1 species
CUACGGGGGGCUCCAGUGGGGAAUAUUGCACAAUGGGCGCAAGCCUGAUGCAGCAACGCCGCGUGGGGGACGAAGGCCUUCGGGUUGUAAACCUCUUUUAGUAGGGAAGAAGCGCAAGUGACGGUACCUACAGAAAAAGCACCGGCUAACUACGUGCCAGCAGCCGCGGUAAUACGUAGGGUGCAAGCGUUGUCCGGAAUUAUUGGGCGUAAAGAGCUCGUAGGCGGUUUGUCGCGUCUGCUGUGAAAAUCCGAGGCUCAACCUCGGACCUGCAGUGGGUACGGGCAAACUAGAGUGCGGUAGGGGAGAUUGGAAUUCCUGGUGUAGCGGUGGAAUGCGCAGAUAUCAGGAGGAACACCAAUGGCGAAGGCAGAUCUCUGGGCCGUAACUGACGCUGAGGAGCGAAAGCGUGGGGAGCGAACAGGAUUAGAUACCCCAGUAGUC